AGUGAACGCUGGCGGUAGGCCUAACACAUGCAAGUCGAACGGCAGCACAGUAAGAGCUUGCUCUUACGGGUGGCGAGUGGCGGACGGGUGAGGAAUACAUCGGAAUCUACUUUUUCGUGGGGGAUAACGUAGGGAAACUUACGCUAAUACCGCAUACGACCUACGGGGGAAAGCAGGGGAUCUUCGGACCUUGCGCGAGUGAAUGAGCCGAUGUCGGAUUAGCUAGUUGGCGGGGUAAAGGCCCACCAAGGCGACGAUCCGUAGCUGGUCUGAGAGGAUGAUCAGCCACACUGGAACUGAGACACGGUCCAGACUCCUACGGGAGGCAGCAGUGGGGAAUAUUGGACAAUGGGCGCAAGCCUGAUCCAGCCAUGCCGCGUGGGUGAAGAAGGCCUUCGGGUUGUAAAGCCCUUUUGUUGGGAAAGAAAAGCAGCAGGUUAAUACCCCGCUGUUCUGACGGUACCCAAAGAAUAAGCACCGGCUAACUUCGUG
rnacentral:rRNA from 1 species